CUCGCUUUAAAAUGGCGGCAUUCAGUAUACACCCCUGCUAAAGGCUCUCCCGGCACCGGGGCCACCUCGCGCAGCGCUGCUUUUGCUUCUGCCGCUAACACAUGGCAUGUGCCGCUGUCGCUGCCGCUGCCCCUACUGCAGCCGCUGAGAGCAGGGCCCCUUAGCCUCUGGGUUUGCGCUAGCAGCAUAAGGUAAGGCUGGAGAUAAGUUGGGGUUUGUGAGAGUGGCUGCCUUUUUUAGGACGCGAAGAAAUACAAUGGUUUUAAACUUUAUUUUACAAAAUGGCAAAUAGAAGGAAUAU
rnacentral:lncRNA from 1 species